rnacentral:rRNA from 1 species
CUCGGAUCAGGUAGGGAUACCCGCUGAACUUAAGCAUAUCAAUAAGCG